GUGACAAUUCACAGCCACAAAGAUGGUCCCUCUCAGUUACCUGCUGUGUGUGAUUAUGCUUUAUAUUCAGGGUAACAAUGGAUUCUCAUUACACGUUUUAUUUCUAUCAAUGUGUGCUUUGUUUUCAUUAUAUGCUUAAUAUAUAAUUAGUGAAUUGUUAAUAAUUACUAUUCCUUUUCAAUCCCUCAGGAUCCUCUGGACAGUAUGUGAUGACUCAGACUCCAGAGUCAGUUACUGUGUCACCAGGAGAAACUGCCACCAUGACAUGUACAUCUAGUGCUGGUAUAGGCAGCUGGCUAGCCUGGUACCAACAGAAACCAGGACAACCUCCAAAUCUUCUUAUCUAUGGUGCAAGCAGGAGACAGACUGGGAUCCCAGCCCGGUUCAGUGGCAGUGGGUCUGGAACCAGUUUCACUUUAACAAUCAGUGGAAUGUUAGCAGAAGAUGCAGCAGAUUAUUACUGUCAGCAGAGUUACAGCGACCCUCUCAC
rnacentral:lncRNA from 1 species